CUCCGGUUGAUCCCGCCGGACCCGACUGCUAUCAGAGUGGGACUAAGCCAUGCUAGUCAACAUAGCAAUAUGUGGCAUACGGCUCAGUAACACGUAGUCAACAUGCCCAGGGGACGUGGAUAACCUCGGGAAACUGAGGAUAAACCGCGAUAGGUCAUCACUUCUGGAAUGGGUAAUGACUUAAAUCUAUAUGGCCCCUGGAUUGGACUGCGGCCGAUCAGGCUGUUGGUGAGGUAAUGGCCCACCAAACCUGUAACCGGUACGGGCUCUGAGAGGAGGAGCCCGGAGAUGGGCACUGAGACAAGGGCCCAGGCCCUAUGGGGCGCAGCAGGCGCGAAACCUCUGCAAUAGGCGAAAGCUUGACAGGGUUACUCUGAGUGAUUUCCGUUAAGGAGAUCUUUUGGCACCUCUAAAAAUGGUGCAGAAUAAGGGGUGGGCAAGUCUGGUGUCAGCCGCCGCGGUAAUACCAGCACCCCGAGUGGUCGGGACGUUUAUUGGGCCUAAAGCAUCCGUAGCCGGUUCUACAAGUCUUCCGUUAAAUCCACCUGCUUAACAGAUGGGCUGCGGAAGAUACUAUAGAGCUAGGAGGCGGGAGAGGCAAGCGGUACUCGAUGGGUAGGGGUAAAAUCCGUUGAUCCAUUGAAGACCACCAGUGGCGAAGGCGGCUUGCCAGAACGCGCUCGACGGUGAGGGAUGAAAGCUGGGGGAGCAAACCGGAUUAGAUACCCGGGUAGUCCCAGCUGUAAACGAUGCAGACUCGGUGAUGAGUUGGCUUAUUGCUAACUCAGUGCCGCAGGGAAGCCGUUAAGUUUGCCGCCUGGGGAGUACGGUCGCAAGACUGAAACUUAAAGGAAUUGGCGGGGGAGCA
rnacentral:rRNA from 1 species